rnacentral:rRNA from 1 species
GACGAACGCUGGCGGCGUGCUUAACACAUGCAAGUCGAACGGAAAGGCCCUGCUUUUGUGUGGUGCUCGAGUGGCGAACGGGUGAGUAACACGUGAGUAACCUGCCCUUUACUUUGGGAUAACUUCAGGAAACUGGGGCUAAUACCGGCUAGGAGCUCCUGCUGCAUGGUGGGGGUUGGAAAGUUUCGGCGGUUGGGGAUGGACUCGCGGCUUAUCAGCUUGUUGGUGGGGUAGUGGCUUACCAAGGCUUUGACGGGUAGCCGGCCUGAGAGGGUGACCGGCCACAUUGGGACUGAGAUACGGCCCAGACUCCUACGGGAGGCAGCAGUGGGGAAUAUUGCACAAUGGGCGGAAGCCUGAUGCAGAAACGCCGCGUGCGGGAUGACGGCCUUCGGGUUGUAAACCGCUUUAGCCUGUGACGAAGCGUGAGUGACGGUAAUGGGUAAAGAAGCACCGGCUAACUACGUG